rnacentral:rRNA from 1 species
GAUGAACGCUGGCGGCGUGCUUAACACAUGCAAGUCGAACGGUGAAGCAGAGCUUGCUCUGUGGAUCAGUGGCGAACGGGUGAGUAACACGUGAGCAACCUGCCCUGGACUCUGGGAUAAGCGCUGGAAACGGCGUCUAAUACUGGAUACGAGACGUGGCCGCAUGUCAACGUUUGGAAAGAUUUUUUGGUUCAGGAUGGGCUCGCGGCCUAUCAGCUUGUUGGUGAGGUAAUGGCUCACCAAGGCGUCGACGGGUAGCCGGCCUGGAAGGGGGACCGGCCACACUGGGACUGAACCACGGCCCAGACUCCUACGGGAGGCAGCAGUGGGGAAUAUUGCACAAUGGGCGAAAGCCUGAUGCAGCAACGCCGCGUGAGGGAUGACGGCCUUCGGGUUGUAAACCUCUUUUAGCAAGGAAGAAGCGAAAGUGACGGUACUUGCAGAAAAAGCGCCGGCUAACUACGUGCCAGCAGCCGCCGUAA